GGAUGUGAGGGCGAUCUGGCUGCGACAUCUGUCACCCCAUUGAUCGCCAGGGUUGAUUCGGCAGAUCUGGCUGGCUAGGCAGGUGUCACCUUCCUCCCUCACCGCUCCAUGUGAGUCCCUCCCGAAGCUGCGCGCUUGGUCGAAGAGGACGACCUUCCCCGAAUAGAGGAGGACCCGUCUUCGGUCAAGGGUAUACGAGUAGCUGCGCUCCCCUGCUAGAACCUCCAAACACGCUCUCAAGAAUAAGGAGAGUAUCCUAUCAAAAAAUUUUAAGGAUGUUU
ensembl:misc_RNA 7SK 7SK RNA